rnacentral:lncRNA from 1 species
ACUUGCUAGCAUAACCGCAUAAAUUUUAAAUAACAAAAUUAAUACGAAAAUUAACACUAAUAAUUAAGACCAAUAAUAACAAUGUGUAACUACAAUUAACCUCACUCACGGAUCAUCUCCUUCGCGCCGUCCUUCCCUCCAUAGCCUCCAUCAUGCCUGUCGGUACUUCUCUUUGCCUGUUCUUCUCUCACUCGUCUUUGGAUCGUCUUUCGGUCCUUACCUUCCACGCCGCACCUACUUCCAUCGCAGAUGGAAGUUGCAGGUUGCCGACUUCCCAUCGCAACGAUCAUGUCCCUGUUUAAUAACUUCAGGUCAUCAAUUUUCUCUUUUUUUUUUUUGCUUUUCCUUUUCUCAACAAAAGCCAUUUUUCAAGGUCGAG